AAAGCUCUUUCGCACGCGACGAUGAUGACGGUAGCGUGAGAAGAAGCCCCGGCUAACUUCGUGCCAGCAGCCGCGGUAAUACGAAGGGGGCUAGCGUUGUUCGGAAUUACUGGGCGUAAAGGGCGCGUAGGCGGUUUAUCAAGUCAGGCGUGAAAGCCCCGGGCUCAACCUGGGAAUUGCGUUUGAUACUGGUAGACUUGAGUUCGGGAGAGGUGAGUGGAAUUCCCAGUGUAGAGGUGAAAUUCGUAGAUAUUGGGAAGAACACCGGUGGCGAAGGCGGCUCACUGGACCGAUACUGACGCUGAGGCGCGAAAGCGUGGGGAGCAAACAGGAUUAGAUACCCUGGUAGUCCACGCCGUAAACGAUGUGCGCUAGACGCUGGGAAACUUAGUUUUCCGGUGUCGCAGCUAACGCAUUAAGCGCACCGCCUGGGGAGUACGGCCGC
rnacentral:rRNA from 1 species